rnacentral:rRNA from 1 species
CCUACGGGUGGUAGCAGUGGGGAAUAUUGGACAAUGGGCGAAAGCCUGAUCCAGCCAUGCCGCGUGUGUGAAGAAGGCCUUCGGGUUGUAAAGCACUUUCAGUGGGGAAGAAAGCCUUGGGGCUAAUACCCUCGAGGAAGGACAUCACCCACAGAAGAAGCACCGGCUAACUCCGUGCCAGCAGCCGCGGUAAUACGGAGGGUGCGAGCGUUAAUCGGAAUUACUGGGCGUAAAGCGCGCGUAGGCGGUCUGAUAAGCCGGUUGUGAAAGCCCCGGGCUCAACCUGGGAACGGCAUCCGGAACUGUCAGGCUAGAGUGCAGGAGAGGAAGGUAGAAUUCCCGGUGUAGCGGUGAAAUGCGUAGAGAUCGGGAGGAAUACCAGUGGCGAAGGCGGCCUUCUGGACUGACACUGACGCUGAGGUGCGAAAGCGUGGGUAGCAAACAGGAUUAGAUACCCGAGUAGUC